AACGAACGCUGGCAGCGUGGAUUAGGCAUGCAAGUCGAACGAGAAGCUUAGCAGUCAAUCUUUCGAGAAAGACAGUUAAGUGGAAAGUGGCGAAAGGGUGAGUAACGCGUGGGCAAUCUGCCCUCAAGUUGGGGACAACGGCUGGAAACGGCCGCUAAUACCGAAUGUGGUGUUCUGUCGCAUGGCAGGAUUACUAAAGGUGGGGAUUCUUCGGAACCUGCCGCUUGAGGAGGAGCCCGCGUACCAUCAGCUAGUUGGUAGGGUAAUGGCCUACCAAGGCUUACGGUUAGCCGGCCUGAGAGGGUGAUCGGCCACACUGGGACUGAGACACUGCCCAGACUCCUACGGGAGGCUGCAGUCGAGGAUCAUUCGCAAUGCGCGAAAGCGUGACGAUGCGACGCUGCGUGGAGGAUGACGGCCUUAGGGUUGUAAACUCCUGUCAUGAGGGAAAAGCUAUUCGAGUGCUAAUACCACUCGGACUCGAUGGUACCUCAAGAGGAAGCCACGGCUAACUCUGUGCCAGCAGCCGCGGUAAUACAGAGGUGGCGAGCGUUGUUCGGAUUUACUGGGCGUAAAGGGUGCGUAGGUGGCACUGUCAGUCGGAUGUGAAAUCCCACGGCUCAACCGUGGAACUGCAUUCGAUACUGCAGAGCUAGAGUACAGGAGAGGUAAGCGGAAUUCUUGGUGUAGCGGUGAAAUGCGUUGAUAUCAAGAAGAACACCGGAUGCGAAGGCGGCUUACUGGAAUGUUACUGACACUGAGGCACGAAAGCUAGGGGAGCGAAAAGGAUUAGAUACCCUUGUAGUCCUAGCCGUAAACGGUGCACACUUGGUGUUGGAAGGUUUGACCCUUCCAGUGCCGGAGCUAACGUGUUAAGUGUGCCGCCUGGGGAGUACGGUCGCAAGAUUAAAACUCAAAGAAAUUGACGG
rnacentral:rRNA from 1 species